rnacentral:rRNA from 1 species
ACUCCUACGGGAGGCAGCAGUGGGGAAUAUUGCACAAUGGGGGAAACCCUGAUGCAGCCAUGCCGCGUGUGUGAAGAAGGCCUUCGGGUUGUAAAGCACUUUCAGUAGGGAGGAAGGUAGUGUAGUUAACACCUGCACUAUUUGACGUUACCUACAGAAGAAGCACCGGCUAACUCCGUGCCAGCAGCCGCGGUAAUACGGAGGGUGCGAGCGUUAAUCGGAAUUACUGGGCGUAAAGCGCAUGCAGGCGGCCUGUUAAGUCAGAUGUGAAAGCCCGGGGCUCAACCUCGGAAUAGCAUUUGAAACUGGCAGACUAGAGUACUGUAGAGGGGUUAGAAUUUCAGGUGUAGCGGUGAAAUGCGUAGAGAUCUGAAGGAAUACCGGUGGCGAAGGCGGCCCCUGGACAGAUACUGACACUCAGAUGCGAAAGCGUGGGAGCAAACAGGAUUAGAUACCCCUGGUAGACUGUCA